CGACCACAAGGCUAAGAAGAUGCUGUGAUAGAGAGAGAAAUCUUAAACAGGGAACUGCAGCAGCCCAGCCAACAUCACAGGUUUGGAGGUGAACAAAGGCAGCAGAGAAGUGUGUAUCUGUCUGUACCUUCAUCCAUCCUGGCAUAGGCGAGGCUGAGAGCACUGCUGGGAUUUCUGCUACUCCACUUGCCGUUGAAAAGUAGACAACAGACCCCGGCAAUGGGAAUUCAAUCUUCUCUGAGGAGUUUCUGGGUGUGCGUAAAACCUGUUUUCUCUAAAUUCAACAUCCUCAACGAAUGU